UACGGGGGGAGCAAGCGUUGUUCGGAUUUACUGGGCGUAAAGGGCGCGUAGGCGGCGUGACAAGUCACUUGUGAAAUCUCCGGGCUUAACUCGGAACGGUCAAGUGAUACUGUCGUGCUAGAGUACAGAAGGGGCAACUGGAAUUCUCGGUGUAGCGGUGAAAUGCGUAGAUAUCGAGAGGAACACCUGCGGCGAAGGCGGGUUGCUGGGCUGAUACUGACGCUGGAGGCGCGAAAGCUAGGGGAGCAAACGGG
rnacentral:rRNA from 1 species